GCAAGUCGAACGGUAACAGGUCCUUCGGGAUGCUGACGAGUGGCGAACGGGUGAGUAUCGCGUGGAGAAUAUGCCUCGGGGCGGGGGACAACAGUUGGAAACGACUGCUAAUACCGCAUAUCCUUUAAGAAGGAAAGGCUUCGGCCACCCUGAGAGUAGUCCGCGUUGGAUUAGCUAGUUGGUAAGGUAACGGCUUACCAAGGCUACGAUCCAUAGCUGGUCUGAGAGGAUGAUC
rnacentral:rRNA from 1 species